rnacentral:rRNA from 1 species
AGUGAACGCUGGCGGCGUGCUUAACACAUGCAAGUCGAACGAGAACGGAAUAUAGCUUGCUAUAUUUGUCAGCUAAGUGGCGCACGGGUGAGUAAUGUAUAGUUAACCUGCCAUUAAGAAAGGAAUAACAGUUGGAAACGACUGCUAAUGCCCUAUAUGCCUUUAAUACAUAAGUAUGCAAGGGAAACGCUUUAGUGCUUAAGGAUGGGUCUGUAUGGUAUCAGCUUGUUGGUGAGGUAAUGGCUCACCAAGGCUAUGACGCCUAACUGGUUUGAGAGGAUGAUCAGUCACACUGGAACUGAGACACGGUCCAGACUCCUACGGGAGGCAGCAGUGGGGAAUAUUGCACAAUGGACGAAAGUCCGAUGCAGCAACGCCGCGUGGAGGAUGACACAUUUCGGUGCGUAAACUCCUUUUAUAUAGGAAGAUAAUGACGGUACUAUAUGAAUAAGCACCGGCUAACUCCGUGCCAGCCGCCGCGGUAAUAC